UACGUAGGGUGCGAGCGUUGUCCGGAAUUACUGGGCGUAAAGAGCUCGUAGGUGGUUUGUCGCGUUGUCCGUGAAAACUCACAGCUCAACUGUGGGCGUGCGGGCGAUACGGGCAGACUGGAGUACUGCAGGGGAGACUGGAAUUCCUGGUGUAGCGGUGAAAUGCGUAGAUAUCGUAAGGAAGACCAGUGGCGAAGGCGGGUCGUCCUGGA
rnacentral:rRNA from 1 species